rnacentral:rRNA from 1 species
AUUGAACGCUGGCGGCAGGCCUAACACAUGCAAGUCGAACGGUAACAGGAAACAGCUUGCUGUUUCGCUGACGAGUGGCGGACGGGUGAGUAAUGUCUGGGAAACUGCCCGAUGGAGGGGGAUAACUACUGGAAACGGUAGCUAAUACCGCAUAACGUCGCAAGACCAAAGAGGGGGACCCUCGGGCCUCUUGCCAUCGGAUGUGCCCAGAUGGGAUUAGCUUGUUGGUGGGGUAACGGCUCACCAAGGCGACGAUCCCUAGCUGGUCUGAGAGGAUGACCAGCCACACUGGAACUGAGACACGGUCCAGACUCCUACGGGAGGCAGCAGUGGGGAAUAUUGCACAAUGGGCGCAAGCCUGAUGCAGCCAUGCCGCGUGUAUGAAGAAGGCCUUCGGGUUGUAAAGUACUUUCAGCGGGGAGGAAGGGAGUAAAGUUAAUACCUUUGCUCAUUGACGUUACCCGCAGAAGAAGCACCGGCUAACUCCGUG